rnacentral:lncRNA from 1 species
GACAUAUCAAAAUAAAUAAAUAUAAGGGUUAAUAGCCGGAAAAUACACGAAGUUUCACCAAAUUUGUAAUUUGAACAUGAUUUUUAAAAUUAGCUCCAUAAUACAUGAACUAUUGAUUUAAUUGCAAUUUGCACACGCGUUGACUAUAACCUAAAUCCUAGUUGACGUGGCUCCCAGAAUUUGCAGACGUGGAUGCACCGACGUUUAUGUAAUACGACGUCGUUUUGAGUGAGUAUAAUUAAAAAUAGGGGUGUGGAAUCGUGCUUGAGGUGAAAAAGGGGCGAGCCCUAGUUUCCUCCUCUCUGUUUCCAAUCCGCCGCCGCCGAGGGACCGGCGAGCGCCGCCGCUUGGAGGACGCGACACCUUCUUCUUCCCGUCUAGAGCUUGUCCGCCGCGCUGUCACGCCGUUGAUCCUGGCCCUGCGAGUCGUCGCCGCUCUAUUUUUCAUCCGGCGUGCAGUAGGUCCACGGGUCACCCUCGAGCAAAAGCUCCGGCGCGAGCUCCUCAUCCCCUCUCUCUUUUCGCUGAACUUCGAUGAGCAGCGGGGUUCUGCCGCCGUUGUUCUUCCCUGGCCCAUUGCGCCUCCACAUCCGUCGCCGUAACCAGGAGAGUUACGAAUUCAUUCAUCUCGAUCCUAGAUCCUAGAUGUUGUGGUGGCUGGCAUCUUUAGGUAAUUAAAUUUUGAAUUGAGUUUUGUUGCUGUGUGGUGUUUGUGUAUCGGAGAAGGUUAGAGGUGGCACUGGCACUUGCCUGAAUUCAGAGAAGGAGGCUUGGAGCUAGAGUCAGCGGUGGCGGCACUUGGUUGUCGUGGCCGAGAAUUAGAGGAAAAAGGUGGUAGCGGGGCUAGGGUUUCGGACGAUGAUAGGGGCAACGGCUUCACGCUGCUGUCAUUAGUCGGAGAAAUGAGAAAGAUUGGGGGCGGAGGUCGUGGCUUGUUCCUGCGGCUGCCAUUGCCGACGCCUAGGGAGGAAGUGGCGAUGCGGUUGCUGGAUUUUUAGAGGCGGUGAUGUUAUUUCAUUCCAUCUCCUUCAUUCUAUGUCUUAUAUGUCACUGUGUUAAAAAUGUCCCACAUAAUUUUAAAAAUAGUCCAUGUCAUUGUCGUCAACGUUAAUUUUAAUCGGAUUUCUCACCUUGUUAAAUCAAUAGUUGGUGUAUUAUGGAUCUAAUUUUAAAGGUCAUAUGCAAAAUGCAAAUUUGGUGAAACUUUGUGUAUUUUUCGGCUAUUAACCCUAAAUAUAAUUAAAAUAUAAAAUAUAAAUAAAUAUACAAACAUAAAUAAAAAGUUGUAAAAAAUAAUAGAGAGAGAGAAGAAGAAGAAGAAAAUAUUUUAAAUUUUUAUUCUUUCAUAACUAAUUUGUUUCAAAUUCAUUUUUGAUUUUUUUUUAUCAUACUAUUAAAGAUCUUAUCACGAGUUUAAAUUUUAGAUUCAUAUUGAUUUUUUUUAUGAAUCAAAUUUGAUGAUGUUCAUAAAAGAAUUAAAAAGAGAGAGAUGAGAGAAAAAAUUAGUAGGAAUACAAAGAGAAAAUAGUGAAAACUGAAAAGAUUGGUGGGAGAAGAGAGAUAAAAAGAGAUAGGGAAGAAAAUGGAGAGGGGAAAACUCCUAUUUUAUGGUAUACUAGUACGCCCUCCCGUGCGAUGAACGGGUCACGAUAUAUUUAUUUAUUUUUAAAAUUUUAAAUUAUUUAAGAAUAUCAAAGUGUCAUUAUUUAUGAAUUAGAUUAACCGAUAAUAAAAAAAAAUGAUACUCACUCCGUCCAUGAUAUCCUUCCACUUUUAUUAUUUUAGUAUGUGCACAAUAUUAUUUUCACUUCCAUUUAUAGCAGUAUGGUCCACGAACUUCAUUUACAAUAAUAAUGAGACCCAAACUCCACUAACAAUAAUACUCACUACUAUUCACCACUUUUUAAAACUUGUACCGUUCACAAAGUAGAAACAAUAUCGUAGACGGAGGCAGUGUCAAUUUAAAUAUAAGUAUUUGAUUUAAAAUAAUGUAUAAUUAUUAUAUUAUCAACUUAAUGAGUAUUGUAUAAUAAUAAUUAAAUUUAUAGAUUAUAAAACAAAUCAUGUAAGUCAAUCUCAUUUUGAGCAAAUAAUACUAAACCAUCAAUAUAACAAAAUUGAUAGUCGUCAUUUAAUAUUAAAAUAUUGAGAUCUUAAAAUUCAAACUGCAUUAUUAUUAAAAGUUCAUAUUUAAACAACCCAAACCAAAUUUAAAGAUCAGAAAAAAUAUGAAUAGUAUAAAAAGGAAGAUAUAAUAAUAAAUAUGUUUAUAUAAAUAAAUAAAUAAUUCAUAUGCAUAAUUAUAAUUAAACAACCAUGUAGACUUUUGUAGACUUUUUUGAAAGGUAAACAAUGACAUUUACUAAAAAAAAUUCCCCAAUAAACGGAAACAAAUGAAAAAAUAGUAUGAUAUUCAAAUUAGAGAUAAAUGAGAGCGAACAAAAAUUAAUUUUGACAUUUUAGACGAUCAUAAAUUAUUAAUUUCAAAUUUAUUUAUUACUCUAAAGUAAAGAUAUUAGUUUUAAAUUUAACAUUGGAAUUGAAUAUUUUUUCACAAAUCGAAAUUAAUGAUUUUUUUGAAUAAAAUUAAAAUAGAAAAAAUAAGAAAGAAAUUUUGGAGGGAAGAAGUGAGAGGAGAGAGAAAAUUUGGAGGUAAAAAAACUCCUCUAUUUAUAUUAUAUAUAGAUAUAUAGAUAUUGUAUAUGUUUUUUUUUUAUUUAUAAAAGAACAUUCAAUCUACAUCCCAAAUUAGAAAUAAAUUUAAAAUGAAUAAUAUAUGUGUGUUUAAAGUUUCAAUUUUUUUUCUCUAUCCGAUUUACUCCCCAUUUUUUUCUCUUUUUUCUUUCAUCUCUUAUAAAAAUAUUAAAUUUUAUAUAAAUAAGUAAAAAAAAUUAUACUCCUUAUGAACGAAAUAAAAUACAUCAAAACGUAUGAACGAAAACAUAAAUUUAAAGCAAAUUCAUUUAAAGAACUAAUUUGGCCCAAAAACAAAGAGUACAGUGAUAAAUAAAGAAUCACAAAUUAAUUUAACCCAACAAUUAAAGAAUAUAAUAAUAAAUUAAGUCUAGCAAUUAAUUUAAAUCCAUUAUAAAAUACGAUAAAAGAAUGAAUCCCUAAUUUGGGCUCAUUAUUCACGCCCAAAUUGUAGGCGGCGCCGCUCCCCUUCUUAACUUUUGACGCUUAUUUCCCUGCUAUUCUUUUUUCGUGUCCAUUUUUUAGAAUUGUUGCGGCCAUCUCGUCGCCGCACGGACAGCUCCGCCACGCCUUCUUUGGCAGCAGCGCAACACGAUACAUCACCCUUUUUCCUCGCUCUCGCCGCCUCUCUUUCACUUGGUCUCUCUUGCCUAUCACUUAUUGCCGUACGGACCAUCCUACCUUCUACAGCAGUCGCAGCACUGCUCAGGCACACAGAAGUCUGUCUCUCCAGCCUCCUGUAGCUCCAUCUCGGCUCCUCCAUGCGGCCUUAAAAACAGCAGCUAACACGUAACUCAUUUAUGCCUUCAAACGUUCCUUCUUCCUUCUCAUUCUCCUUCUCCAUCCACGAAUUUUGAAUGCUUAGAAGUUGUGAUCCUGUGAGUUUGUGUUUGAGUUUUUCGGCUGCAAUUCCUUAAGAACACCGAUGAUUUAGUGGAGCAAUCUUUGAUACCUAUAGAGCAUUAAACAGUGGGUUGCUUCGAAUUGUGUAAUUUUUUUUUCAGAAAAGAAGUGUAGAGAAAAGUGUGAAAUGGUAAAUGAAUGUGAUUUGAUAUUUAUAAAUUGUAAAUCUGGAUGUUAUAGCAGUUUGUUAUCACUUUCAGUAGUGGGUUGCUAUAGUUUAUUUGCUAAUUGGCGUAGUGGGUUGUUCAUCUAAAUAACAUGGUGGUUAUGGAUUGUAAAAGGGGGAGAAUGCGUUGUGUAAAAAACUGAAUAGAGAGAGAAAUAUUUACAUACGGCCGUUGAAGUUUUAGGAAUAUUCAGUUAGAUAAAUGACGGUAAAUUAGAUGGUGUUAAACUGGUUCUUCAUAUAAUAUAUAGAUUGUCACAAUCUAAUAUGAUCAUAAUUAUUUGUUUUAUAUAUAUAGUUAACUGUAUCAAUUUCACACGUGACAUAAACGCUAUUUAUUCAAAUCGAUUAGGUCGACGUCACAAAAUACAACAACUACAUUUUUUUGUAUAUUCAAAAGAAAAUAAAUUUUACAUCAAUAUCUAUAUCUAUACUAUACUAAUAUAUAUAUAUACUAAUAGAAAAAGAGCCUAAGCAUUCUAUGGGACAACUUGUGGAUUGCAUAUUUUACCACUCUACAUAAUAUUUUAUGUUAUAUAUAGUUAUAAUCUAUUUAAUAUAAACGUGUAUAUAUCCAAUUAUCACGUUAAUUUUAAAUAUGAAAAGUAGAGAUAACGUGUAUAUAUCCAAUUAUCACGUUAAUUUUAAAUAUGAAAAGUAGAGAUAAUGGAUAUAUCUUCGUUGACUUUAAGUUGGAGAAGAAUUAGAAUUUAAUUAAUUUAUGUUUAGAAUUUAGUUAGUACAAUUUGCAAUCGGUAGUAGUAAUUAUUACUUACUUUCAUGUAAUUAACCAAUAAUUAAUUGUGUUAUAAAAUUAAUGAUCAAAUUGUCUAAGAAAUAAUAAAUUAAAUAUAAUAGUAAUUAUUACUUACUUUCGUGUAAUUAACCAAUAAUUAAUUGUGUGGUAAAACUAAUGAUCAAAUUGUCUAAGAAAUAAUAAAUUAAAUAUAAUACUCUUAAUUAUUUUGUCUCAUUGAAAUUCUAAUAUGAUGUUGCAAUAUUACACCAAGUUGUGUUAACCGUUGGAUCAAUGUCUAUCCCAAACUAACAUUUAUUGAAUCCCAAAAUAUAUUUUGUAAAUAUGGUUAGGAUAAGAAUAAAAUAAUUUAAUAGAUCAAAGAAUUGUGAUAGAAAUCGACAAUAUUAGAAUUAGAAUUGUAAUAGGAAUCAAACUUUCGAAUCCACAUUAUAUAAAGGGGUUGCAGCGUUCCAACUAUCCAACCAAGAACCACGAGACGAAAUCACUAUACUUCUACUACUAAUACUACCUUCAACAUUCUUCUUCUGCAAAAGAUUGAAUCGUUUACGAGGUUUUCCCUAGGUCUGAAAUCUGAGUUGUUACCGUGCUUCACCGCUGCUCUUAGUUUUGAUUCUCGACUGUGCUCAGUCAGGCCACACCAUCGCACACAACCUCUUCGAGAAGACAACUUGGGUGGCCUCUCAGCUCCAUCGCCACCAAAUAGAAUAUAAUAGCAUAUGUUUUGAGAUUUUCGUGCUUCGCUGCUGCUCUGAGCCUUCGGUCCGCCGUGCUUCACCGCGCUCUGAGUCUUUUUCCGGUCACUGCCUCCCCUCUUCGAAGGUCGUUUGAGGUUAGUUUUGAUUCUUGCUCCAUCUGUUCAUAAGUAUUAUUAGAAUACAAUGAAUUCUCUUCCUUGAAUCUAUUAUGUAAAUCCUUCCGCAUGUUGAUAAUUAUUUCUGGUACUGAGUGAACCAACACUAAUAUUAAAGACACAUGAUUUAACUUGAAGAUCUCCAAGUUAAAUGUUAUUUCUGGUACUGAGUGAACCAACACUAAUAUUAAAGACACAUGAUUAUGCCAAGAAAUAAUAUUCGAUACUUUACACAUGAACGCAAGAGAAGAUAAAUUUUAUUGGGGAAUUUAUGUACAAGAAGGAGCGGGAAAAGAUAAAAUUACCCCCUCCAUGCACUCAAAUAGAAUUGUUAUAAAUAAAUGUAUAUAGUUUCUACUUUUCGCAUCAGAGAGUUUAAUUUCAUUGUGGUUAUCAUAUAUAUGGCCCCAUCACAACACAUAUGUCAGACACUAUAUAUAAUAUUGUACCAGAUGAUAUCGUAAAUAUAAAAUCUUAUUGUGUAUUGAUGAGGUGAAAUACGAAACUAUAUACUAUGAAGUUUUGUUUAAUUUGAGAUAAAUUAAUUAGGAUGAUAUAUAUUGCAGAUAUGAGAUGUAUUGUAGGGAUCAGCGCCUAAUGGCAUAAUGCAUUAUGCAUAUGUCUUAAUGCAAUCCCUAUUUAAUCACAAUGUAUAAAUCCUACCUAUGAAUGAGCUGGAUCGAUAAAGUGUUGAUUUGUAUUUAGAGUGUUUAGGUGAUAUGAAUACAUUUAAUUAAAUUUCUAAACAUAGAUUGAAUGAAAAAUCUUUUAGUUGUAAUGGUUGAGAUUCUUUAUAUAAUUAAGCAAUUGUUGAUAUAUAUAUAUAUAUAUAUAUAUUAGUAAAUUAUUAUAUUUAUUUUNNNNNNNNNNNNNNNNNNNNNNNNNNNNNNNNNNNNNNNNNNNNNNNNNNNNNNNNNNNNNNNNNNNNNNNNNNNNNNNNNNNNNNNNNNNNNNNNNNNNNNNNNNNNNNNNNNNNNNNNNNNNNNNNNNNNNNNNNNNNNNNNNNNNNNNNNNNNNNNNNNNNNNNNNNNNNNNNNNNNNNNNNNNNNNNNNNNNNNNNNNNNNNNNNNNNNNNNNNNNNNNNNNNNNNNNNNNNNNNNNNNNNNNNNNNNNNNNNNNNNNNNNNNNNNNNNNNNNNNNNNNNNNNNNNNNNNNNNNNNNNNNNNNNNNNNNNNNNNNNNNNNNNNNNNNNNNNNNNNNNNNNNNNNNNNNNNNNNNNNNNNNNNNNNNNNNNNNNNNNNNNNNNNNNNNNNNNNNNNNNNNNNNNNNNNNNNNNNNNNNNNNNNNNNNNNNNNNNNNNNNNNNNNNNNNNNNNNNNNNNNNNNNNNNNNNNNNNNNNNNNNNNNNNNNNNNNNNNNNNNNNNNNNNNNNNNNNNNNNNNNNNNNNNNNNNNNNNNNNNNNNNNNNNNNNNNNNNNNNNNNNNNNNNNNNNNNNNNNNNNNNNNNNNNNNNNNNNNNNNNNNNNNNNNNNNNNNNNNNNNNNNNNNNNNNNNNNNNNNNNNNNNNNNNNNNNNNNNNNNNNNNNNNNNNNNNNNNNNNNNNNNNNNNNNNNNNNNNNNNNNNNNNNNNNNNNNNNNNNNNNNNNNNNNNNNNNNNNNNNNNNNNNNNNNNNNNNNNNNNNNNNNNNNNNNNNNNNNNNNNNNNNNNNNNNNNNCAGAUAGAUAUCAUACUGAAAUGAAACAUUUUAUGGCAAGACAAUACUUGAAAUAACUUCAAUUCAAAUAUUUUGUCAUGAAAUAACUUGUUCAACUGUAAUAUGAAACUCAUUUGAUACAUAUGAAAGUAAUGCCCACCUGAUAGUGAAGCUUUGCUACAGUUCAGUAACUCAUUGACUAGCUCUUACUCUUGCGCUUAACCUUGAAUGUCAAACCUUAGCUCGAUGAAAAUUCUCAAUAAAUGAGAAUGCGUAAAAUAAAUAUGCAUGGCUCAUAUUCCUUUAAUUAUUAAUCCAAAUAUUGGAUCAAAGCUCGUCUUAUAAUAUCAGAUUAUUAAUCUUAAUUAAUCCACUCAUCUUAGGGUUUGCUAACCCGCUUACUAAUCUCAUAACCUCAUUCUUUCAAAACCGUAAUUAGAUUUGGUUGAGUCUAAUUAAUCGAUUAAUAAAUCAAUUCCUUGAUCGGGCUUAAAUAAAAUAAUGGCACUCCAAAUAAAAGAACUCCAUCCCAAACUAAUUAAAUACAACCCAUAUGAAGGAAAUUAAGGGCAACCUAUUCUACUUAAAAUAGAAGCCCAAAAGCUCAGUCUCAAUCCGGCCAAGCUUAACUCCUAAUUUUGGCCCAUCAUAACACACUCUCAGCCCAAACACCAGCUUGCCCAAACACCAAAUUAAUUCACGCUGAACUCCUUUUCUUCAAGGUUUCACGUUGAGAACCAAGAUCGACCGUGUACUCCACCCAGCCGUUGCCGCAUCCACGCCGAAUCGCCGCUGCUCUGAAAUUCUGGUGGGGCCGCACCUCGUCUCCCCUCCGACUCACUCUCUCCCUCACAAUCUCUUCCUCUUAAUUCCUCAAUCCAGACUACCCUUUUCUUCUAAAUUUCGAACCCUAGCUCUUCUUUCUUAGUAAUCAGCCGUCGCCGUCACUGAAGAGUCGGCGAACGACCGCCGCUGCGUGUCGGAACUCGUCCGCAAAUGUAAUACCCCGUAUAUUUUUAUAAUAUUUUUAUUAAUAUUUAUAUAGUUGUUAAAGGAAUUAAAUAGCUUGAAAUGCUAUUUAAUUAUUUGAGUAUUAUUUACUAAUGAGUUUAUUGGUUUAGUAAUUAAGAUUUAUUACUAAAUCAAUAGUGUGAAUAAUAUGAGAGUAUUUAAUUUUAUUUUCUUGAAGAUGAAUAAUUGUUGGUAGAUAGCUUCAUUAAAUUUUUGUAAUUGAUGUAUAUUCAUCAAAAUAUGUUUUUAAAGCAUUUUCUUUUAUUCAUAAAAAUUAUUUAAUUGUAGAGUUUUCCAUUUUUAAAGUCCUUUUUCUAGAAUUCUAAUAUAUAUUAAAAUAAAACUUUAUAUGUAUGAAUUUUUGCCCAAAUGGGCCGGCCACUUUAGAAAUGAAAUGGGAGUUCCAUGUUUCCUAGUUGUAAAAAAGUUGUUUCUAGAAUUUUAAUGCACAAACUCCCAAACAAAAAGGAUAACCAUGUAUAUUUGUGGGAAUUUAGAUAAAACCCAAUUCACUUCUACCUAGCUACUGUCGACUGUUUUCAAAAAAAAAAGGGAAGAGAACAGAGCCAUCUUCCUCACCCUUCAAGUUUAAAUUCGUAGAGAUUUUCAAGUAGCAGCUGCACUACUUUAAAAGAAGAAGGUGAAUUUCUUCGAUUCUAUGUUUUCCUACAAUUCUAGCUUGAAGAAAGUUUAUUCCUUGAAUUCUAGGGUUCUUCGAAAUUUGGGAUUAUAUUCUAGAGUUGAAGUAUGACUUCAAUAUUGAUAUAUAUUGUGUUUUUGAUGUUCCUAAGCAUGAUUGUGGUGGGUAAUUGCAGUAAUUGUUACUCGAUUUUGGAUUUUUCUCAAGUUAGUUCUAGGUUGAGUUCGAAAAUUCUGAUUAUGUUCUUGAAUAAAUGAGUUUAUAUAUGUGCUCUUGAGCUGGAAUUAUGUUAUAUAUGAGUAUAUUAUGAGUUUGCACUCUAGGGUUGUGAGAUUGAUUUUGUUAGUUUAGGGGAAGUUGGGGCUUUUGAAUUGAGAAGGUUUAUAUGCUAUUGUUUGAUGGAGAUAUGUAUAUUAUGAUGUGAUUUUAUUAAUUAUGGAGAUUAGAACAGCCCUACUACCCAAUUCUUUUAUGAAGCUCUGUUGUAUAAAGAGAGGGAAGUGAUAAAGUUGCUAUGUGUAUGCAUGUAGUUGAGAGUAGUAGCAUUGGUGGGGUUUAAUUUUAGCUCAUUAAGGUUUCUUUUAAAGAGAUUGAGAUGAUUAAAGAUAUUAGUUUAUUAAACUAUAUAUGCAUAUGUUUAUUGAGAGUUGAUGAACAUCUUUUAACUCAUUCUUUUAUCUUUCCUUAUUGAAUUCAGAAAAAUGAUUUUAGUUUAUUGAUGAUGUGAUGUGAGGAAAUGUUAGGAUAAUAAGGGAAUAGCAAACAUGAGUUAUUAUUACAAUAUUAUAUUAUAUAUAUAUAUUUUCUUACUUAUUUUUCUUACAAAAUUUUAUCUAUUUAAAGGUUCCGGCUAGGAACGAGCCCGACACUAGAGUACGAAGUAAGAGAAACAUAUCAGGUGGGCUUACUAACUCAAGAAACAAUGAUGCAUACUUUAUUAUAUAAAGUUUAAGUGUAUGCAUUUAUUUUCAAAUUGUUGACUUGCCAAUGUUUAAGUUUUGUAUGAUACCAUCUACAUAGAAGAACGAAUUCGAGUCCUGAGCGAGUCAGGAUUUGUGUACACAGAGUGACGGUUAACCUUGAGUUAGCUUGUCGUUACGUUUGGGAAGGAGGCCUACUUCUCAACGUGUUUAUUGAGACUAGUAGAUAUGGUACAUACUUACAUGAGAACUUAGUCUGCGCAGACACUUUCAAAUACUAUGUAAAAACAGUUUAGCAAACACAGGUUGCUUCAGAAAAUCCCUUGUGUAUUGCUUAAAGUGGCAAGUUCAAUAUAUAGCAUUAUCAUGCAGAGUUUUAAAUUUUUUCGGCAUAUGUUCACUGAGUGUUUGUGGUACUCAGCCCUGCAUAUCUUUUUAAAUGUGCAGGUUAAGUUUGGAUGAAGAUGGAAGUGUGCUGAGCUGGAGCUUUUUGUUUAUGUAAAUAGUAAUAGGCUCAGGAUGUUGUGUCUUCAUACAUAAUGUCCCAUGAUGUACUCCGCUGCAACACUUUAUUUCUCUUAUCACUUUUGACGUGUUGUAGAAUGUUUUAAAACCUUAACCUGUAUAUGAGCGUGAUAAGUCUUGGUUAUGAUAUUUAUUUGGUCUAAACUUCUUUUGUUAAAGUUUGAUGGCUAUGUAUGUAAGUUAAUUAUACGUUUGUCUUAGUUUCAUUUCGAUUACUUUCCAUCUCUCGUUCUCCACCCUAGUCGUACGAUACCUGGUCUAGCUAUCUUUCUCCUAGGCCGGGCUGCGACAGCAAAUCACCGCGGCGUACAGCUCCACCGCUGUGUCUGUUGGGUAUUUACGCCUAGCCAGGGUUACACCAAUUGUUUCUCGAAUCUCCUGUCUUUCCCACUUCGUGCUCAAGCACUUUAAUCCUCGUCUUCUUCUUCUCUUCACUUCACUGCUUCUCCCCUCUUCGCUUCUUCUGAUCUGCACAAAAGAAAAGAAAGCAAAGAAAAGAUACAAGAGAAAAGAAAAAGAGAGAGAUAAAGUUCAGAGAUUGGGGAAAAGGUGUCCUCGGGACACGGUGGGGCUCAGAUUUUCCCCUUGUACUCAGCAACCCUUCCGACAGCUGAAUGAUCAAGACCACAUGAUGGACAAGGAGCAGCUUCUCAGAUCUCAGCAGAGCCACCAAUAGCAGGAGCCAAGUACAGGACUCCGACGGCUUAGAUCUUCCCAGGUAACCACCAAACAGGGCUCCGGUGAACAGGAAGGCCCGGUGAUACCACCACCCAUACAGGGAAUCCCGUACUAUCAAAGAAGUAACCACAGAUUUGAAAGGAAUAGCAGAGCCUCUCACACUUUGAUACUACGGUUAUCCCCAUAUGGGAUAGCAUCAGGGAUUUUAAGGAGAGCAGCAGCAACGGGAGGGAGGAGCGCCAUUGAAGGCGAUGGAGAAACCAAGGUAAAAGGGCGGUGGGAGGGUGGAGGAGCCGAGGAGUUGGGGAGAGAGAGAAGAAAAGGAAAGGGAAGCGGCGCUGAGUGAAGUGAGAGAGAGAGUGGGGUUCGGGUGGGGUAUAUCUGAGGGUGAGUGGGCUAGGGUUUGGGAAUUGGGCUUGGUUCUGGGCCCAAGAGAUGGCCCAGACAAAAAGAAAAAGAAGGGUUUGAGAGAAUGAGAAAUGGGCCAACCUCACAUAUCUGCUUUCCCUAUUUCUGUUCCCUAUCCCAGAAAGCAUGUUAGCACUGAAAUCUUUGAAUAUUUGCAUGCUGAUGUUUGGGGCCCUGCAAAGGUGCCCACUCAUGGUGGUAAUAUGUACUUCUUAUCUGUGAUUGAUGACUUUUCUAGAAAAACUUGGGUGUUUCUUAUGAAAAACAAGUCUGAAGUAUUUGAUAAAUUGUCUAAGUGGGCUGUUCAGAUUCAAAAUCAGACAAGAAAGAGCAUUAAAUGCAUAAGAACUGAUAAUGGCCUUGAAUUUUGCAAUCAUUCCAUGGAUAAUUGGUGUUAUGAGUUAGGCAUCACUAGACAUAAGUCAGUUCCUUACACUCCACAGCAGAAUGGAGUUGUUGAAAGAAUGAAUAGAACUCUCCUUGAGAGAGUUAGAAGUCUCCUUGUUGCCUCUUGUCUGUCCAAGCAUUUCUGGGGUGAAGCCCUUAUGACUGUUGUCUACUUGAUCAAUAGGUCUCCAUCUGUGCCUUUACUUGGUAAAUUGCCUGAGUCUGUAUUCUGGAAUAAGCCUAUAUGCUUGAAGAACCUGAGAGUCUUUGGUUGUGCUGCUUAUGUGCAUCAAAAUCUUGACAAACUUGAACCUAGAGCUAAGAAGUGCAUUUUUCUUGGGUAUCCUGAAGGGGUUAAAGGAUAUAGGCUGUGGGAUAGGUCUGUACCUGGGUUCAAAACUUGCAUUAGUAGAGAUGUGUCUUUCAAUGAAUUGAGUUUCCCAUGUUUGCUGAAAUCCUCACAAUCUGCUGCUCCAAGUGAGGUGGAGAACUUGAAUGCUUAUGACUCUGCUAGAUAUGAGUUUAUGUUUACUCCUGUGAUUCCUUUUGAGGUGGAAACUCAACCAAACGCUGAACCUCCUCAUGUAUCUGACCCUGUUGUUCAGCCUGAACCCAUUCCUGAUCCUGAACCUGUUAUACCUGAAUCUGCUGUGAAUGAACCUACCCAGAAUGAUGUGCAUGUGAAUGACAAUUUGAAUGAUUAUCAACUUGCAAGAGAUAGGGAAAGAAGGCAUGUUAGGCAGCCUGCUAGGUUUGAUGACUACGAUUUGUCCAUGUAUGCCUUUAAUGUGUUCAAUAAUGUUGAUCAUACUGAACCUUGUUCUUAUUAUGAGGCUGUUAACUCUGAUGAAUCUGCUAAGUGGUUAACUGCUAUGGAAUCUGAAAUGAACUCUCUUCAUAACAAUAAGACAUGGAUUUUAGUUCCUAAACCUGCUGACUGCUCUAUUGUUGAAUGUAAAUGGUUGUUUAAAAUCAAAAAUGAGGUGGAAAAUGUCAGAUACAAGGCUAGGCUUGUUGCAAAAGGUUUUACACAAAAAGAGGGCAUUGAUUAUAAUGAGAUAUUUGCUCCAGUUGUUAAAUUCACUACUGUGCGCAUUAUGCUUGCUCUAUGUGCUCAUUUUAACUGGGAAUUGAAACAGAUGGAUGUUACUACUGCUUUAUUGCAUGGUGAACUUGAAAAUGACAUUUAUAUGAAACAACCUGAAGGUUUUUUUGAUAAAAACUUCCCUGAUCAUGUGUGCCUUCUUAAAAAGUCUUUAUAUGGUUUAAAACAGUCUCCUAGGCAAUGGAAUUUGAAGUUUGAUCAAUGCAUGAAAAACUUGAACUUUGUUAGGAGCAGUUUUGAUCAUUGUUUGUACCAUCUGGAUGGUGAGUCUCCUGUGUUCUUGCUCCUAUAUGUUGAUGAUAUGCUCAUACUUGGUCCAUGUUUGAAAACCAUACAGCAUGUUCAGAAAUGCCUAUGUGAAAACUUUGACAUGAAGGAUUUAAGGGAUGCUAAGAAAAUUCUAAGCAUGAGCAUAGAAAGAGACAGAGAGAAAUCUACUCUUUUAUUGCAUCAGUCUGAUUAUGUGAAGCAAGUUCUUCUUAAGUUUAACAUGGAUAAUUGUAACUCUGUCAAUGUGCCUCUUGGUUCUCAUUUUGAGUUGAGUAAGAAACAAUGCCCCAUAUCUGAUUCUGAUCUUGAAGAGAUGAAAAAUAUCCCUUAUGCCAAUGCUGUAGGGUCUGUCAUGUAUCUUAUGAUUAGCACCAGACCUGACAUUGCCUAUGAUGUAUCUUGCUUGAGUAAAUACAUGGCUAAUCCUGGACUUCCUCACUGGGAAGCUAUGAAAUGGCUUUUCAGAUAUUUGAAAUCUACUAUGGAUCAUGGUCUGUUCUUCUCAAGGUCUGGAAAUGGUGUCAAAUGUGUUGGUUAUGUGGAUUCUAAUUAUGCCAAUGAUAGGGACAAUAGGAAGUCUACUACUUCUUAUGUGUUUACUUUAUGUGAUUCUUGCAUAAGUUGGAAGUCUCAGUUACAAGGCAUUGUGGCUUUAUCUACUACUGAAUCUGAGUAUAUUGCAGCUACUGAAGCUGUAAAAGAGGCUAUAUGGUUAAAUGGUGUGCUUUCUGAGAUUAAGUUUAUUGAUGAUAAACCUGUGCUCUUCUCUGACAGUCAGUCUGCUAUACAGUUGUGUAAGAAUCCUGUUUUUCAUGAUAGAACAAAACACAUUGAUGUCAGGUAUCAUUUUAUCAGGGAUGUUGUUGAAAAAGGGUGAUGUUAUUCUGAACAAAAUUCCUUCUGAAUUCAAUCCUGCUGAUAUGGGAACCAAAUGUUUACCUGUUUUAAAAUUAGUCUCAUGCAAAAAUACUUUGAACAUUGGAGGUCUUUGACUUGUUUUCUGCUUUGUUUUCUUGAGUUUUUGUGUUGUUUGUUGUCCUUUUGUUUGUCUGCUGCUUGUUCCUUUGUGUUUCUUUUGUUUGUGCCCUGUGUGUUGUUGUCUUUUGUUGUUUGAGCUUUGUUGUGUCUUCAAUGAUAACCUUUUGGGUUUGAGAAAUGGUGAUUUCCUCUUGGGUUGAUCUCUGUGGCUUGAGAUUGAGAAUGAUAUGUCUAAUAUUAUUUCUCACCCUCUCUUUCUUGUCUUUGUGAUAGGAUAAGAGUAAAAAUGGAGGCUGCAUGUGAUGACAACUCCAACUCAAUGGCUGGUCCUUCCCUGGUGACUAAAUGAUCAAUGUGCCAAAGGUGGAUAUGUGAAGGUUGGCCCAUUUCUCAUUUAUCUCUUUUGUCUGGGCCAACUUUAGGGCCCAGAACCGAGCCCACUUAAAAACCCUAGCCCACUUUACCUAUCUGAUAUAUACCCCCCCGAACCCCACUCUCUCUCACUUCUCUCUGCGCCGCUCCUCCUUACCCUAAUUCUCUCUCUCUGACUCCUCAUCUCCUCCACCUUCCCACCGCCCAUCUCCUUGGUUUCUCCAUCGCCUUCAAUGGCGCUCCAUCCUUCCUCUUAGCCUGCUGCACCCCUAUUAAAUCCCUGAUGCUCAUUCAAAUGGGGAAGCAUAGAUUAUCAAAAGUGAGAAAGGCUCUGAUAUUCCUUUCAGUGUGUGUUAUUCUUUUGAUAGUGUGGGAUUCCCUGUGUGAGUGGUGGUAUCACCGGGCCUUCCAGUUCACCGGAGCUCUGUUUGGUGGUUACCUGAGAAGUUCUUGAGCCAUCGGAGUUCUGUACCUGGCUCCUGCUGUUGGUGGCUCAUCUGUGCUGAGAUCAGUGAAGCCCCUUCACUAUCCAUCACCUUGGUCUUGAUUGUACUGCUGCCGGAAGGGUUUUGCUGAGUACAGGGGAAAAUCUGAGCCCCACCGUGUCCCGAGGACACCUUCACCCCUUCUCUGAUUUCUCUCACUCUAUGCUUUCUUUUCUUUCCCUUAAUUCCUUUUUUCUUUUAUUACCUUUACUUGCUUUUGUUCUUUCUUUAUUGUGCAGAUCAGAGGAACUGAGAUCUGAAGAGAGGAGAAGAAGAAGUAGAGCAGAAGAAGGUGAAGAAGCAGAUCUGAAGAAGGAGAGCAGAAGAGAAGAAGAGAUCAAGAAGAAGAAGAACCAAGUGCUUGAGCACGGGUGGGGAAGACAGAAGGUUCGGGAAACAAGUGGUGAACCCUGGCUAGGCGAAGAUACCCAACAGAAAGUUUUCCAACUGUGUGAUAUUAUUGGAUAUUUGUGUAUAGAAAGUAAGACUUUUUUUAUUGUAUUACAUUAUUAUCUCAAUGUUAUAGAUCAUAUGACGUGUUGUAGAUCACAUAAGAUAAUAUGAUUGAGUUGUCUUGUGAUAUAUCAAUUUGUAUUCACGUCCUAAAUAAUUUAAGAAUAAAUUAUUGAUUUAAGAUAUAGCAUAAUUAGAUAAGUAGUUCGUUUUAACUGCUUGUUUAUGCUACUACGUUCUUGCGUAUUGAAGGAUUACAAUGAGACAUACACCCUCCGUUUUUUUUAAGUAUCCUAUUAAGAUAAAUUUAUUGUUCCUUUUUAAGUGUCCUAUUUCAAAAUUUGAGAAUAAAAAAUGACAAACUUCCUACUUUACCCUUUUUCUUUAAUAUCACAAGUUAGCAAUUAUUUUUGUGCAUUAGCCAUUAAUCCAAUGCAGCUCCAGUAAUACUAUUAAUGACGUAUAGGAUUCUUUUUGCUAUAUGCAUUUUCAACAACAUCAAUUGUAGAAUUCAAGUCAAUUUCUUGCAAUUGUGAGGGGUGGGAUGAAUUUGGGUUCAUUUUGCUGAUAAUUUUUUUAAUCGUGAGAAAGUUUAUAUUAUUGAUUGAGUACUUUCUCUCUUAUAUCAUCAUAAAAAAUUUGAAUUCAAACAAAUUUUUUGAUUUUGGCGGUGGACGAAAUAUUAUCGGCAUUUGAUUUUUUUAGAAAAAAUGUGGAGAUUGCAUACGUAUAGCACUUUAGAAAUUUUAGUGGAAUAGUAACAGUUUGUAUUUUAACAAAAUCUAAAAGGUCAGCAGCUCAUUAGUUAGUUAGUCAAAUGCUCACAAAAAAACUUUGAAGAAUAAAUUUAUUACACUUUGAAAAUAAUAAAUAGGGACACAAAGGUAAUACUCUAACUUCCUUAAUAUAUGUGUUUUUUUUUCAUGGGACACUUUAAAAAAACAGAGGGAGUAUUAUUAUAUUUUGACUAUAUUGUGGAAGCGAAGUUUCGAUAACUUAACCUAACAUAAAUCAAAAUAUAGUUUUCAGGUUAAAAUAUGGUUUUCAGGUGUGUAUAAGUGCAUUUUGACUUGACUAAGAGUCAAUUUAAUAAUUCAACAUAUACUUCGUAUUUCUGGUUACAAUAUUUGAUUAAUUGUAUUAAAUGAUCAUAUCCUCCUAGGUUGAUGAUAUCUUUUAAGAAACUCAUAAACGCUAAAAGAGGAUUAAGUUUUAUUACAAUAAUCAAGUUGAGUAGUAGGAAUUAAUGGUAUUAAUCAUUUUAAAUUGUCGAAAGUUUUAAUUAAUUAUUGAAUAUUUAAUAUCUUAAAAAUGGGGAUUUGAUAAGUUUAAUAAAAGUCUCGAAUUAUUAGGGUAAGAAAGAGAGGGUAAGUCAGUUCUAAUUCUCAAUUAGAACAAAUCCAUGUUUGUGGUCCAAUUAUGUUUUAGGCCUAAUAUAUAUAGAAGAUUUAGACCUAGGAGGAGGCCCAUUUUUAUUCAUUCUAUUUGAUCCAUGGGCUAGCCCAAAGAACUUACUUGGCGUAGAGGGGCAUCAUACCUCUCAAUCUAUAGUGUUUAAUUUUGUCUAAUUCGUCACAUUUUAAUUUUUGCAAUUUCGUUUUUUUUUUUGGAUCUUUGAAGUGCUGAGUUUGAAUUUACUUAGAUCAGUAAAGACAGCGUCGUUUUUGUGAGACAUGAACGACGUCAUUUUAUACAACUCCAAUUAAAUUUUUUACUAAAUUAUAAAGAUAUUGUAUCCUAUAUCUACACCUUACUUCUCAAUAUUCAGCAUUUUUUUGCAAACGAUGUCGUGACAUGAAUAUUACAUGACGAACUAAUCUACUAACCUCCAAUUUAAUAAUCCGACGACCAAAAAUAUUUGGAGGAACGAAAUUGUAAAAAUUGAACAGUGAUUUAAUUCGCCACAUAUUAUAACUAUAAAAAUUGAAAUGACAGGCUGAUUGGUGGACAUUGAUUUAUGUUAUCUUAUUAGCUCAUCAAUUUUUUAUUUAAAUGUUUACAUUCUUUAUUUUUGCUCCAAAGAUGAAGAAGAGCUCUCUAGUAUCCUUUUCUAAAGUUUACGGAUCUACUUUUAUCUCGACUCGUUUGAGUGCUCAGGCACAAACAUCAAAUUCCAAGAGAACAUGAUAACCAAUUAACCAUACACAAAUUAACACCAUCAAAUAUCAUCAAACAUGGAAAACGUCACAAACUCUUUCUAAAAUUGGAAUAUGCACUUUGUCAUCAAUCUCAGACAACUUCUAUUUAUUCGAAUACAAAUAUGCUACUUUUGAAAAAUACUUCUAAAAUUGGAAUAUGCACUUUUGAAGGUUCAGCGGAAGUGCCUCCACCACCGGAUCAUGCUUCAUUCAUCUAUUAAUUAGCGUCCGUGCUUAUCAAUUACUUCUACUUGGUUUUUCAAUGUUUGCAUUUAUUCAUGGCGUUUAUUUUACAUGAUUGACAAGAUGUAUAUGAUUAAGUAUUUCUAAUUUUAAAAGAGUUAAGUAUCAAUAGGGCUGGUAAAAACCGAACCGAUUUACCGGUUAAUCGGAACCGGUUAAGGGCCAUUUCCCUAACCGGUAACCGAACCGGUUAUUGGACCGGUUAACCGAACCGGACAAACCGAUUAAUCCACGAUUUUUCAAUUUGUCCGAAUUUAACCGUUUAAUUCGGUUAAACGGUUAACCGAAUUAACCGAUUUUUAUUUUAAAAAAUUCAAAUUUGUAGAAUGUGUCCAAUAGGAUUUGAACUCUUGAGCUUUGAAAGAAAUAAUAAGGUCUUAUCCACUGCACCAAUUCAUAACUUAUGAUAAUUUAGAACAAAUUUUUUUUUAUAAAUACUUGAAAUAUUAAUGUAUUAUUUAAAUUAAAAUAUAAAUUAAUUAAUUUAGUAUAAAAUAAACCGGUUAAUCGGUUUAACCGGUUAAACCGAUUAGUGAUGAACACACUAACCGAUAACCGAACCGAACCGGUAAAAGCUGGUUAUCGGUUAACCGAAAACCGGUUUUUCCGGUUCGAUUACGGUUAAAACCGAUUAACCGGAACCUUUUACCACCCCUAAGUAUUAAAUACACCGUUAAGAUGCAAUCAAGUUCCCGAUGUCCCAAUUUUGAUGCAGUUAAGCCCUCCUCCUAACGGUUGUUUAACUCCGUUAAGUAUUUUAAUUAUUUAUUUAUUUAUUUUAUUGAUGGUCGAAACCACGCCUUUCUUUUUCGACAAGCUCGCUGAAAAUACGCCGAAAUUCAUGAAGAGGCGGCGUUAUU